rnacentral:lncRNA from 1 species
GGAAAGGAGGUUAAAGAGGAACAAAAUCGUCUGAAGGGGUUUACGGCCGGGAGAGACGCCGAGCGCUGCGGGAAGCCCUCAGACAGCCGGGAUGCAGGAGAGAUGGCAGCCCUCAAACUCCACACGGCCGCUGAAAGCGGGAACGUGCCGAGGCCCGAGUCCAGCGGCCACACACUGCUCCACACGCAACUCCAGAAGUUCACCGUUUCUGCAGACAAGGUGCCUAUUUAUUACUU